AUUGAACGCUGGCGGCAGGCCUAACACAUGCAAGUCGAACGAGUGGCGGACGGGUGAGUAAUGUCUGGGAAACUGCCAGAUGGAGGGGGAAAACUACGGGAAACGGUAGCUAAUACCGCAUAGCAGUCGAUGUUCCCAGAUGGGAUUAGCUAGUAGGUGGGGUAACGGCUCACCAAGGCGACGAUCCCUAGCUGGUCUGAGAGGAUGAACAGCCACACUGGAACUGAGACACGGUCCAGACUCCUACGGGAGGCAGCAGUGGGGAAUAUUGCACAAUGGGCGCAAGCCUGAUACAGCCAUGCCGCGUGUAUGAAGAAGGCCUUCGGGUUGUAAAGUACUUUCAGCGGGGAGGCGUUACCCACAGAAGAAGCACCGGCUAACUCCGUGCCAGCCGCCGCGGUAAUAC
rnacentral:rRNA from 1 species